rnacentral:piRNA from 1 species
UCUGAGAUGAGGGCACAGGGCUCCU